rnacentral:rRNA from 1 species
AAUCAACGCUGGCGGCGUGCCUCAGACAUGCAAGUCGAACGCGAAAGCCCUUCGGGGCAAGUAGAGUGGCGCACGGGUGAGUAACACGUAGGUAAUCUACCUUUGGAUGGGGAAUAACAACCGGAAACGGUUGCUAAUACCGCAUAAUGCAGCGGCACCUAAUGGUGACAGUUGUUAAAGCGGGGGAUCGCAAGACCUCGCGUCUGAAGAGGAGCCUGCGGCAGAUUAGCUAGUUGGUAGGGUAACGGCUUACCAAGGCGAUGAUCUGUAGCCGGCCUGAGAGGGCGGUCGGCCACACUGACACUGACAUACGGGUCAGACUCCUACGGGAGGCAGCAGUCGGGAAUUUUGGGCAAUGGGCGAAAGCCUGACCCAGCAACGCCGCGUGAAGGAUGAAAUCCCUCGGGAUGUAAACUUCGCAAGAACGGGAAGAAUAAGUAAGAGUUAAUAUCUCAUACGAUGACGGUACCGUUUGUAAGCUCCGGCUAACUCCGUGCCAGCAGCC